rnacentral:lncRNA from 1 species
AAGAUUCUCAAUGGUGAUUGGGAUUGAGAAACUGCAAUUUUCUGAUUGAAAAAUAACCUUGGAUCACCAAAUUAGGUAGAGCAGGGCACACCACUCCCCAGCAGCCAGGGCUCACUCUUGGCAGCAGCUGAGGCUUGAGGAAACUGGUGUCCUAAAACACUGAACCCAGUGCCCACUGGAGCUGCCGGCCCCAGGUUUUUCUUCUUUCCUGAGUUCCCCAGUCUUGUGAGAGCAUUUCCCAGUCAGGUAGCCAGGGGAGCAGUGCCACCAUGCGAUUGUACAGUGUGUUGUUUGUCUCAUUAAACAGGCAGGCCCCAGAGACUGCGUUCACGGCAC